UCAAAAAUUGAUUUCUUUCUUUUGACUUAGUUCUUAAGGUGGAGCGGAAUUCAUUUUAUUUGCAAAUGUGGAAGGCAUUAUAAAAACCGUGAAUGAUGCCCCCUCCCAUGAGGGAUACAGGGAGAGCCACGUGAAGAGGAUGUUGGGCUUCUUCAAGCUGGCAGGGCACUGAGCUGACUGUCCACCACACUCACCAGGGGCCUUUGUGCAUCCCGUGGGGCAGCUCUGGGAAAGGAGGGCCAGAAAGGAUGGGCUUUCCCUUUUCCUCGUGGCAGAAACUUCCCUGACUUCAUAGCUGGGUUCCCCCUAUCCACAGUUUACAGUACAACUAUCUCCUCCAAGUUGGCCAGCAUUGCCUCUGAUACGUGAACAAGAAGUAUUUGGAGGU
rnacentral:lncRNA from 10 species